UAUAAUACAGCAACCAAACAUGUUCUUGGGAUAUGUUUUUCUGAACUAGAGAUGACAUCACUAGCAUCUGGUCUUUCUCUUUGAGACAGCUGAGAGAGUGAGGUGCCGUGAGAGAUGCAAUCGAUGGGGGGGUAGAGAGAGGUAGCCGACAGUGAGAAUGGUAAGGAAGAACGGAGCGUAGUGAGAUUAGUGGAUUGGUGAGGAAGAGCGUGAGGGAGAGAAUGAGAGAGCAUGUGUUGUGGUUGAGAAUGUUGCAAUUGAAAAUUUACUGUAACCUUUUAUGCUUGCCUCAAAACUCACCGUUUUGUGCUAACUGUUGUGCUCAAUGUUGUAAGAAUAUCGGAACUGUUAUAAAUUUGUUUCUAAAUAGAAAACUCUUUUGUGGAGUCAAUAUUUUGAAAACCAAAGUCUCGAGUUCUUUCUCGUGCGUGCCUGGCCAGCAUCCUAAACCUUACUGCUAGCCGGAGAAUGGCGUAAAACGGCGGCGAUCUUCUUCUUCAUCUUUUUCUCUCUGUCAUCGUUUCAGGUAACCUUGUGAUUAUGAGUUUCUUCUCUUUCUUAGCUUGCAAAAAUAGGUUUUGAUUUCUUUAAUUCGUAUUGUAGCCAUUAAUAUCAAUUUUUGUCCUGCCGGCAAUAUUUUUUUGUUCCUAGAGGUUGAAGCCCUUCUGUUCUUGUUCCAUUGGUGACUUUGCUCACUCAAAUUAAUUUUGUUCUGCAGAAUUUACAAAGUUCAAAUGGAUUCGUUUGGAUUACUAUUGAAUUUAGCUUUCAUUUCAACAUUCAUUCUAAUGUUUUACAAUUAUGUAUUUAGAUUUACUUUAAUUUUAUGUUUAAAGCUUCUGCAAUGAAUAGCUGAGCUUGGGUCUUAGUUUCAUUUUCUAAUUAACUUGUUUUAGUUUAUCUUAUAUGCUCACCAAGUGCUUGUUAUAUUGUCUGAUAGGUUAUAUAACAUUGCUGAUUCUAUAUUAAUAAUGUCAUGUUCCAUUUUCAGAAAUUAUAAUAUAAAAGUUUUUACAAUGGGGUGCAUCUACAAACUGAAUUGACUUGUAGAGUAAGAGCUUGGAGUAGUGUUGCAUUCUUGAAUAAAUGAAAGUUCAUAUUGUGUAAGAGCAUGUAGAUGUAAAGCAUCAUUACCAUUUCUACCAAGUGCUUUCAUUCCGUUCAGAUGCUCCACUUGAACUUUGGAAGGUGCCUCAUUCAAGUCCUAGCUAUAACUAAUAGCUCUGAUUAAUUAAGUUCAUGUGCUAGCUGAAACAGAUUUAAUUAAUUAAUUAAUUAAUUGUGUAUGUACUAAUUAUAUUGAAAGUAUAUGAAGAAAUUGUUUAACAUGAAUGACUUCUAAAUGACUUAAAAGCCUAGAGGAUAAGUGAAAUAAUGCUCAUUUCACUUGAAUGAGCCUAUUAAUACUUGUAUGUCUAUGAUUGUCAAUAUUGCUUAAGUGUUUCAGUUAAGUGGUUUACCUAGCAGGGAAAAAAAUUUAAUGGAAAACCUUAGAGUUUUAAUAGAAAUAUAGUUCACUAUGCAGAUAUAGUUAUUUUACGGUAUAUAAAUCAUGUUGUCCUAUUCUCAAUGUCCUACAACCUAUUUUAUUUUAUAUAGUCAUUCAUUUUUACGAUGGUUUUUUGUGUUUAUGAGUAUGGAAAUAGUGGGAUUUGGUGUACCUUAGCAUCUUUCGAAAAUUCUCUUUAAAUGCGGCAAACAAAAAUAUACAUAUAAUCAAGUUUCUUAAUCAUGUAUAUUAGGUUUGGGUACGAAUGUUUUCCUAUUCUAGUUCUAGGCCAAGUUUCUUCAUUUUGGUCUUCAGAUUUCCAGUAGGUUAAGCUAAUCAACUAUCAUAACUGGCUAGCUAGUUAUUGCCUGCCUUGUCGCCAUUACCGACGCCAUUACAUUGCAUGGCAUAGGGAAUAGUAACUAUGUGAUUAUUGGUGAUUUGUUGAGCUUAUUAUUGACCAAACAAACAUAUUCGCCUUUACCCACAACUUGGUUUGAUUAGUUACUGGACAAUAAAGAGCCUUAAUCUAUGCAUUGGCUUUCUUAUUUUUAUUUGGUUUUUCUUUCAACAAUAUUGUUGAUUUCUUAAUCAUUGGCUAUUUAAUGAAGCUAAUUAAAACUAAGGCUUCGGAUCACUUUCUUCUAACAACAAACAAAUGAGGAUAACCUAUCUCCUCUAAGCAAAUUUUUCUAAUAUCCUUGAUUUGUUAGGACCUGGAGGCCUGAAAUCCUCUAGAUUUUUUUAGCAUUGCCAAUGUUCCUUUUAUUCUGAAAAGGAAAAAAAGGUUAUAUCGUUUAUACCCUAACAGUAAAAUGGCCUUUGACUUAACAUGCCUUCCUGAGGAUUUGCAAGAUUCACAAGCAGCCUAGCCACCCCCCAACGCAAAAAAAAUAAAAAAUAAUAAAAAUAUAAAAUAUAAAAUAUAAAAACCCAAAUAGGAAGACUUUGCAACAUUCACAACGUGGUUACAUUUAAGUUAUUAAUUGUGUGUGUGUGUACUAGUUAUAUGUUGAUAGUAUAGGAAGAAGUAUUUUAACAUGGAUGACUUAAAACUUAUUGCUCAGUAAACAUAGUCUGCAUCAGUGCUAGAAAAUGUAUUCAUUGUUUGUAUUUUUUAUGGUUUUGAUUAAGAAAUGAAAUGUGAAAAAAUGCUACAUUGUAUUAGGAAUAAAUUGAAGAGAUUUAUGAUAUUUAUGUGUUAUUCAAGUUUCAGAUUCAAUUUUAAACUUUUGAUACAUGCAUUGAAAGCUUAAACUCCUUUAAGAAGUUAUUGAUAGACACAUGUUUUAUUAGUGUCAUCUUUGGAUGAUAGUGAGGAUCUUAUGUCUAUUAAUAAUUCUUGAAUUAUCCAGGCUCGGACAUUUUGGUAAUGCAUAGUUUUCUAUGGUAACUAGUACCUGAAAUUUUUUUCCCACAAAAAAUGGGCUUUUCAGUAGCUGCUCCUCAUAUUCUGGGUGCAUACUAGACGAAUGGGUGUCGUUUUGUUUUGGGAUAACACAUAAACACUCAUAUAUCUAUGUCAUGUACUUGAAGAACUAUAGGGAGAUGCUUCCGAAAUUUCUAUAAACGUAGAGGAAAACUUUAGAUACUUAAGGUUGAAGAAACUUAUGCAUUCUUGAGUGGGAUAUAGAGGACCACUUACCUUUUGUAAUAUGAAGGGAAUGUUGGAUAUAUUGAUGGGAGUGGAUGAGCUGAGUGGGAUGAAUGUAAACGGUUAUGAUUUUGCUGAGUUGACUUGGUUUUGAGUCUUGUAAUUUUGUUUAUAAAUGGAGUACUAUCUCCAAUGUUGGUUUAUAAAUAUGUUUCAGCUGGCUGACCUAAUUUUUUAUUUCUAGGUAACAGGCUUUAUAUAUUCGUAAUUGAUAGCCAAGUGAAGUUCUCAGCAGUGGGUGAGGAUAUUUCUUUACAGAAGGUAUUGGAAACUGUUUUUCACAUUAAUUAGUAUUGUAUACAUACUUUAAUUUCACAUCUUUUUCUCUGAUUCUUGUGGCUUUGCUUGCUUUCAUAUAUAUAAACAUUCUAAUGAGAUUAACAUAAAAUUGUAUAAUGAUUUUUUUUAAUUAUAAAUUGCGCGCACACGAAAAUAUCUUGUUUAGUAGUAGAAAUGAAGAACUAAAAUGAUUUAUUUAACUAAUUUUUCUAGUGCAUUAAAAGGAGAUAGUCAUGGACAAGAGUUGGGUUGGUUUGCCAAAUAGAUAUCCAAGUCAUAUACUGAUGGGGUUGAAAAAUUUAUAGAUUUUGCAUUUGAGAAUGUUGUUGGUGAUAAAAGAAUUUAUUGUCCUUGUAAGAAGUGUCGUAAUAUCGAUAUUUCAUUAUAAGGGAAGUGGCAAGAGACCAUAUCAUUACAAAUGGCUUUUGGUUAAAGUAUUGAAACUGGAUAUUGCAG
rnacentral:lncRNA from 1 species